GCAUAUCAAUAAGCGGAGGAAAAGAAACCAACAGGGAUUGCCCUAGUAACGGCGAGUGAAGCGGCAACAGCUCAAAUUUGAAAUCUGGCGUCUUUGGCGUCCGAGUUGUAAUUUGCAGAGGGCGCUUUGGCAUUGGCAGCGGUCCAAGUUCCUUGGAACAGGACGUCACAGAGGGUGAGAAUCCCGUACGUGGUCGCUAGCCUUUACCGUGUAAAGCCCCUUCGACGAGUCGAGUUGUUUGGGAAUGCAGCUCUAAAUGGGAGGUAAAUUUCUUCUAAAGCUAAAUACUGGCCAGAGACCGAUAGCGCACAAGUAGAGUGAUCGAAAGAUGAAAAGCACUUUGGAAAGAGAGUUAAAAAGCACGUGAAAUUGUUGAAAGGGAAGCGCUUGCAGCCAGACUUGCCUGUAGUUGCUCAUCCGGGUUUCUACCCGGUGCACUCUUCUAUAGGCAGGCCAGCAUCAGUUUGGGCGGUUGGAUAAAGAUCUCUGUCAUGUACCUCUCUUCGGGGAGAACUUAUAGGGGAGAUGACAUGCAACCAGCCUGGACUGAGGUCCGCGCAUCUGCUAGGAUGCUGGCGUAAUGGCUGUAAGCGGCCCGUCUUGAAACACGGACCAAGGAGUCUAACAUCUAUGCGAGUGUUUGGGUGUCAAGCCCGAGCGCGUAAUGAAAGUGAACGGAGGUGGGAGCCUUUCGGGGUGCACCAUCGACCGAUCCUGAUGUCUUCGGAUGGAUUUGAGUAAGAGCAUAGCUGUUGGGACCCGAAAGAUGGUGAACUAUGCUUGAAUAGGGUGAAGCCAGAGGAAACUCUGGUGGAGGCUCGCAGCGGUUCUGACGUGCAAAUCGAUCGUCAAAUUUGGGCAUAGGGGCGAAAGACUAAUCGAACUAUCUAGUAGCUGGUUCCUGCCA
rnacentral:rRNA from 1 species